UGUGGUGUCAACCAGUGACCUCUCCAGCA
rnacentral:piRNA from 1 species